rnacentral:rRNA from 1 species
GACGAACGCUGGCGGCGUGCUUAACACAUGCAAGUCGAACGAAGUAGCGAACGGGUGAGUAACGCGUAAUCAACCUGCCCUUCAGAGGGGGACAACAGUUGGAAACGACUGCUAAUACCGCAUAAUGAAGGAGGGGAUUGCGUCUGAUUAGCUAGUUGGGGGGGUAACGGCCCACCAAGGUGACUAUCAGUAGCCGGUCUUGUGAGAUGUGUCACCCCCUUGGGACUGGGACCAGGCCCAAAAGUCUACCCUGAACAACAAUUACUAAACUUCCGGAAAUCACGAAAGUCUGACGCAGCAACGCCGGGUUAGUUAUGACGUCCUUCGGGUUAUUAAACUAUUGUAAUCGGAACGCGGUACCGGAAUAGAAAGCCACGGCUAACUACGUGCCAGCAGCCGCGGUAAUUC